GAAGUGCUGAUGCCUUGUGGUGUAGCUUGACAGUCUCAUGAGGGCAAUGUAGAUAUUUAGCACACUGAGGAUGUAUUAUUGCCGUAUGAGAGAUGUUUAGAGUGCAAACCUAGCCAGUACAAUAAUGGUAAAUAAUAAGAAUAUAAUCAUUUACAUUUAUUCAUUAGGCAGCUGUUUUUAUUCAAAGUGAUUUACAACAAGGGAUUCGAAACCCAGGUGAGAAUUGGCCCAUUGAACAAGCAAAGGAACUAAUAACAAUAAUAACAACUAAUUUUGUAUUUUGCCAUAUCAGUAUUCAUUCACCUUAUUGGGAGACAUCAACUCAAAUAAUUUCCAAACAUUUGAGGAUUUCCUCUUGCCAUUUCCAGGGCCACUUCCCAUAAUGGGGCAAAAAGUGUAUGUAAUACAAACCGUAUAGCCGUCAAUCUCUUCAACCUCAAAAGAAUCCCACGACGCCCAAAGGUUUCAUGUCUUUACAAAAGUUUCGAAGAGCUGCCAGGAUUCGAUUCCUCUCACACCUCUGGACAAACCGGAUGUCAUCGUCACUUGACAUUGCAUAAACGAAGCAAGCAUUAAUGUUUACAAGAGAAGUGCUACCUAACUGGCCAGCGAAUGCAAAAACACAUUAAUAUUCUGAUCCUCGGACACGUCCUCUUUUUCACCUCAGCAAAUAUGGUAAACCUAACAAUGAUUAUCUCAUAGAUAUAUUUAAGUGAUGGGACUUAGACCUCAUCUCAUCAAAGUGAAGCCCAGCUCAUGUUCACUCCCCAAUUAGGUAGCGCUUCUCUUGUGAAUAUUAAUGAGUUUCCUUAUCCACCCUCUAAAACGAAAAUUUGCGUCCGGGUAAACCCGGACGUAUGGUAACCUUACAAUUAACUGUCGUUUUACAAUCUACAUACAAUUGACACGAUAUAUGUGUAUACAAGUAUUUUUCAAUGAAAGCUAAAGUUUUUUAAACUUCAAGCAAACAAUACAAUACAAAAUAAUGCAUCAAAAUUCCAAUGGUUCCUGGGAGUUGAUGUCACUUGUGAGCAGCGUGACAUGUAGGGAUGUGUAUAUUAUUUAUUUUUUAAAGUUAAUGUGUGCACAAGUCUCGCAAAAGCUGUGUGAUGAUACUGAGAGGCUGCUGUAUAUUGAAAAUUGGUGCCUUUUCCCUCACUUGGUACUUUAAUUUGCCACAUAUGGGAGUCAUAUGGGAUGCAGCACUAACCCCGGACAAAUCGCCGAUUUGUGAAAAAGUUUUACUAUAAGUGUAUAUAAUGCAAUGAAUUUCUUACUUCUUUGCUUUUUUUGACUAUAAUCUUUUUACAAACCUUUGAAGAAUGAGAAUUACAGAAGAGGAAUACUGCCUGUGUUUUCUUCUCACAGUGAAUUCCGGGACUUUAAAAGAUAAGAAGAACUUUAUUUAUCCGAGGGAAAUUCUUUUGUUUUAAACAUGCUCAGUGCAACAAGAGGAAUAAAGAUGAGACAGUAAAGAGCUUAAAAAGAAUAGUAGCAAUAGUGCGAAAACAGAAUAAAAUAAAUCUAACAAAGUAACAAAUAACUAUAACAGAUAUAAUAAAAUAACAGAUUUUUAGUGCAAGUGGUUAUGAAAAGUGACUUAGUGUCUGUGCCAUGGAUGAAAUGAGAUCGGAGCUUGUGAUGAGGGGAUGUAAACAUUCAAUAGCAUACCGGUAAGUAAAUAAAAAGCAGGUAAGUAAUAUUGUACAAUCUGAAUGAGAACCUAAUGACAUAAAUGUUGAAACAGGUGAAAAAGAUUAAGUUAUACACUCGUAUUGCCACAGGUAGAAAGGAUUUGCAUUUGCAGGCAAUGAGUCUUUUGCUCUGUGUGCUCUGAUGACCCAUCAUGGAGGUGUGCAUGGGGUGAGGGGGGUCAUCCAUGAUACUGAGAAGCUUUUUCAGCAUUCUCCUCUCAGACACCUCCGCCAGCUUCUCCAGUCCGACACCCAGGACAGAACCAGCCUUUUUAAUCAGCUUGUUCAGCCUGUUGGCAUCAGCUGUCUUCACUGCACUGCCCCAGCACACAGCUGCAGAAAACACCACACUCUCUACUACAGAGUGAUAGAACUUAGUCAGCAUUUCACUACAGACAUUGAAAGACCUGAGCCUCCUCAGUAAAUAAAGCCGGCUCUGCCCCUUCUUGAAAGCAGUGUCAGUGUUCUUGGACCAGUCCAGUUUACUGUCAAUGUGCACCCCCAGGUACCUGUAGUCCUCAACCACCUCAACAUCCGUUCCUCUGAUGGUUACAGGGGUGGGGGGAGAUCCUGCCUCCUAAAGUCUGCAGCCAGUUCCUUUGUCUUUGUGAUGUUAAGCUGUAAAUGGUUCCGCUCACACCACUCAACAAAGCUGUCCACCACACUCCUGUAUUCAUCCUCCUGUCCAUCCCUGACACAGGCCACAAUGGCAGAGUCAUCAGAGAAUUUCUACAGGUGACAUGACUGAGACCUGUACCUGAAAUCAGACGUGUAGAGGGUGAAGAGGAAGGGUGAUAGGACAGUUCCCUGUGGUGCUCAGGAUGCUAUCAGAGCGGCAGCUCUUCAGCCGGACAUGCUGUGGUUGAUUGGUUAUAUAGUCUGUAAUUCAAGCUGCAGACUCAUGUUUAAGAUCAGGUGUAAAACUCCGCACAGCUGGCCAGCACAGCACCUGUGGGCCCUGGGACUGACACCAUCAGGACACGCAGCUUUACUGGGAUGGAGUCUACACAGUUCCCUUCUGAAGUCAUCUGCUGAGAGGGACAGAGAGAGACAGGCUGUGGGAGCCGGAGAGGGGGGAGGGGAAUGGAAAGGGUGAGAAGAGCUGAGUGUGGGGGGAGGAGACGUAGGGCAAUCAAACCUAUUAAAGUGCAGAUUUAGGUUGUUUGCAUAUUCCACGUCUCCCAACACCUCUCUUUUGUUUGGCCCUCAUUCCACAUCACCCUGAAGUUGUUUUCUUUGCUUUCCAGCUUCCUCCUGUAGCAGUCUUAGAUUUCUGCUCCCUCUGCACCAGUCUCAACAUCUCUCUGUCACCGUUUCUGAAAGCUCUCUUCUUUUUGAGUGACGGUGAAAACAUUGUUGGCUCUUGUAGUGCUUUUUUUUUAAACAAACAAACCCUACAUUUUUUAAGCCAAUUCCAUUGGCCAUUUAUCAUCAUCUGUGAUGUCACAUUAGGAAUUUAGGAGUGGCUUUUGACUCAUACCUCAUAUUUGAGACAAUUCAAAAGGAUAGCCAGUAGCAGCAAGCACAGGACCACUAAUGUCUAGGUAUUAAUCAGCUCUGGACUCCAGGAAAAACAAGGACAAAUGUGCACAUCUGUCUUUUAAAUAAAGAAUCUAGUAAUUCGCAGGCCAACAACAAGGCCAACAUCUGUUCCCUGGUCUAGCCUGAACACAAAUGGAAAUCCACUGGAGACCGAUACAGUAAUGGACCUGGAUAUGUGCUACUGGGUAAACUGGGGAGUAAAACCGAAGACCUGCUCUACUCCUGCAGCACCACACCAUGAGCUCUGGACAGAUACUGUGUAACGAAAAAGAAAACCCAGAAGCAACAAGCACAAGACUACUCAUGUCUCACCAAAAGACGGACUGGAGAACAGGUACAUCGUUCUGGACGAGCUGCCUGUAAAUGAGCUCAGUGUUAAUGCUAUAGCUGGCAACUCAGCUAACGCUGAGCAGUGGCUCAUGAUACGGCUGAGCCUGUGCGGAGCGUCUCUCUGCGGCACGCAGGAGUAAACAACAGACCAAAGGCCACUAAAACUAAUGUCACAUCAAAAAGGACAGGACCAGAACAGAACUGUGCACCAGACAAUCGAAAAAGCAGCUAAUUAAGUCAGUGAGACAUCAAACCACAGACUCUGCUAGUAGGUGACCACUGUUGGAGUAUGCCAUCUCCACCGGGUUAAUAAGAGAUUCACAGCUGACACGUGGAGAAGUUUUACGAUUGUAGCCUGUGGGUUAUGGGGCUGGUGGUGACAGCAAUUUUUUCCUAUCCUGUGGUUCCCUCCCUCUUUUUGCUUGGGCGCAGUUACGCAGUCCUGCUCUGCCGCUGUUGCUAAUUGGGGAUUAGGACGGGCAUUGAUUGGGCCACCUAUAUAUUCCUUAGUUGGGUAAACCAGGGCACGUGGGGUCCUCCUGGCAGCAGGGUAGCUGAUGCAGUUUGUGGUGUAGCAGCAUUUGGGCUGUCUCUGCUUUCAGGUACGUCCCGAGUUUCCCUUAAUCUGCGCUAACUGACAAGUAGUGGACUAAGUAUGUGUUGUUAAUCCUGUAUGUCAGGAUAUUAUCAUUGACCUGUUUGUAUUUUUACUGGGUCCAUGUUGUAGAACAUUGCAUUGCAGUUCUGGGUAACCCGUGGCACGUACAGUAUUGUUUGCCUAGGCUGUUUUAAACUGUCUACAUUUACCCAAUUGGUGGUUAAGUACUGCUUUAUUCCGUGUACCGGUUUAUAUGCUUUUUGAUAAUUAGCAUUUAUUUGGCUAAAUGUGUACAUGUUUAUUGUCGCUGGUAGGUUUGUUAAACUAGUAUUAAGUGUUGGUAUUUGCUAGCUGCUUUUUAGCCAUGUAGUGAGGGGUUUUUACUGGCGUAAUAUUUCACUGAAUACAAGCAUUUAUUUGUGUGUUUUGAUUUACAGGUUUAUAUGGCUGUGCUGCGUUGCUAGUUGCUGUUUUCUGUACAGUGUGAAUGUGGUGCUGCUCAGUUUAUUCAUAUAUGUAUUUUGUUUUCCUCUAGCCUGUGCGCGAUAGCGUAAGUGUGGUAGACACUAUGUGAGAUUGCUCUGUAUGCCACAGGCUAGAGUGGGUUUUAUUUUUAUAUUUUCCUUUAUCCUUGUUAACUCCUUAGCCCCCUUCUUGUACCUUUAAUUAACCGGGGCGUUGGGUGUACAAGGUAGCUUAAUGUGUUUAAGGGAGGUCACCCUGGAAAGCUGUGUUUUCUAGCCUUUUUGUGUUAACGUUUGCAGUGCCACACGGUGUGAAGCUCUGUUGUCCUUACCACUUAAGGUGCCUGAGUAUGGUGAGGAUUGCAGGGUAUUUGAUUGCAGUGUAUACUAGGAUAAGUGUGUUUGCACAGUCGCGUGUGGCCUAGAAUUCCCAGCCUCCCUCCAGGGUGUCUGUCCUCCCUGGGUUCAGCAGGCCUCUGCCCCAAUGUCUUGGUGAUUUUUGUUUGCUUCUUGCCUUUCCCUUUCAUUAAGGUAGGGACCAAUUUGACUGGCGAUUAAUCCAGCCACAUGAGUAUGUAUUAAUAAAGACUAUUUUAUAUUUUCUUGUAAAA